rnacentral:rRNA from 1 species
GGUGACUGCGUACCUUUUGUAUAAUGGGUCAGCGACUUAUAUUCUGUAGCAAGGUUAACCGUAUAGGGGAGCCGCAGGGAAACCGAGUCUUAACUGGGCGUUAAGUUGCAGGGUAUAGACCCGAAACCCGGUGAUCUAGCCAUGGGCAGGUUGAAGGUUGGGUAACACUAACUGGAGGACCGAACCGACUAAUGUUGAAAAAUUAGCGGAUGACUUGUGGCUGGGGGUGAAAGGCCAAUCAAACCGGGAGAUAGCUGGUUCUCCCCGAAAGCUAUUUAGGUAGCGCCUCGUGAAUUCAUCUUCGGGGGUAGAGCACUGUUUCGGCUAGGGGGUCAUCCCGACUUACCAACCCGAUGCAAACUACGAAUACCGAAGAAUGUUAUCACGGGAGACACACGGCGGGUGCUAACGUCCGUCGUGAAGAGGGAAACAACCCAGACCGCCAGCUAAGGUCCCAAAGUCAUGGUUAAGUGGGAAACGAUGUGGGAAGGCCCAGACAGCCAGGAUGUUGGCUUAGAAGCAGCCAUCAUUUAAAGAAAGCGUAAUAGCUCACUGGUCGAGUCGGCCUGCGCGGAAGAUGUAACGGGGCUAAACCAUGCACCGAAGCUGCGGCAGCGACACUAUGUGUUGUUGGGUAGGGGAGCGUUCUGUAAGCCGUUGAAGGUGGCCUGUGAGGGUUGCUGGAGGUAUCAGAAGUGCGAAUGCUGACAUAAGUAACGAUAAUGCGGGUGAAAAACCCGCACGCCGGAAGACCAAGGGUUCCUGUCCAACGUUAAUCGGGGCAGGGUGAGUCGACCCCUAAGGCGAGGCCGAAAGGCGUAGUCGAUGGGAAACAGGUUAAUAUUCCUGUACUCGGUGUUACUGCGAAGGGGGGACGGAGAAGGCUAUGUUGGCCGGGCGACGGUUGUCCCGGUUUAAGCAUGUAGGCGGAUGUUCCAGGUAAAUCCGGAACGUCACUAACGCUGAGGUGUGAUGACGAGGCACUACGGUGCUGAAGUGACAAAUGCCCUGCUUCCAGGAAAAGCCUCUAAGCAUCAGGUAACAUCAAAUCGUACCCCAAACCGACACAGGUGGUCAGGUAGAGAAUACCAAGGCGCUUGAGAGAACUCGGGUGAAGGAACUAGGCAAAAUGGUGCCGUAACUUCGGGAGAAGGCACGCUGAUGGUAGGUGAAGUGACUUGCUCAUGGAGCUGAAAUCAGUCGAAGAUACCAGCUGGCUGCAACUGUUUAUUAAAAACACAGCACUGUGCAAACACGAAAGUGGACGUAUACGGUGUGACGCCUGCCCGGUGCCGGAAGGUUAAUUGAUGGGGUUAUCCGUAAGGAGAAGCUCUUGAUCGAAGCCCCGGUAAACGGCGGCCGUAACUAUAACGGUCCUAAGGUAGCGAAAUUCCUUGUCGGGUAAGUUCCGACCUGCACGAAUGGCGUAAUGAUGGCCAGGCUGUCUCCACCCGAGACUCAGUGAAAUUGAACUCGCUGUGAAGAUGCAGUGUACCCGCGGCAAGACGGAAAGACCCCGUGAACCUUUACUAUAGCUUGACACUGAACACUGGUCCUUGAUGUGUAGGAUAGGUGGGAGGCUUUGAAGUGUGGACGCCAGUCUGCAUGGAGCCAUCCUUGAAAUACCACCCUUUAAUGGCUGGUGUUCUAACGUGGGCCCCUAAUCGGGGUUGCGGACAGUGUCUGGUGGGUAGUUUGACUGGGGCGGUCUCCUCCUAAAGAGUAACGGAGGAGCACGAAGGUCAGCUAAUCCUGGUCGGACAUCAGGAGGUUAGUGCAAUGGCAUAAGCUGGCUUGACUGCGAGCGUGACGGCGCGAGCAGGUGCGAAAGCAGGUCAUAGUGAUCCGGUGGUUCUGAAUGGAAGGGCCAUCGCUCAACGGAUAAAAGGUACUCCGGGGAUAACAGGCUGAUACCGCCCAAGAGUUCAUAUCGACGGCGGUGUUUGGCACCUCGAUGUCGGCUCAUCACAUCCUGGGGCUGAAGUAGGUCCCAAGGGUAUGGCUGUUCGCCAUUUAAAGUGGUACGCGAGCUGGGUUUAGAACGUCGUGAGACAGUUCGGUCCCUAUCUGCCGUGGGCGCUGGAGAAUUGAGGGGGGCUGCUCCUAGUACGAGAGGACCGGAGUGGACGCAUCACUGGUGUUCGGGUUGUCAUGCCAAUGGCAUUGCCCGGUAGCUAAAUGCGGAAGAGAUAAGUGCUGAAAGCAUCUAAGCACGAAACUUGCCCCGAGAUGAGUUCU